rnacentral:rRNA from 1 species
GAUGAGCGCUGGCGGCGUGCCUAACACAUGCAAGUCGAGCGAGGGUUUGCUCAGUAUUGAGUAUUCUAAGAUUAGAAUGUUCAAUUCUGAGCAAAACCAAGCGGCGGACGGGUGAGUAACGCGUGGGUAACCUGCCCUAUACACAUGGAUAACAUACUGAAAAGUUUACUAAUACAUGAUAAUAUAUAUUUGCGGCAUCGCAGAUAUAUCAAAGUGUUAGCGGUAUAGGAUGGACCCGCGUCUGAUUAGCUAGUUGGUGAGAUAACUGCCCACCAAGGCGACGAUCAGUAGCCGACCUGAGAGGGUGAUCGGCCACAUUGGAACUGAGACACGGUCCAAACUCCUACGGGAGGCAGCAGUGGGGAAUAUUGCACAAUGGGCGAAAGCCUGAUGCAGCAACGCCGCGUGAACGAUGAAGGUCUUCGGAUCGUAAAGUUCUGUUGCAGGGGAAGAUAAUGACGGUACCCUGUGAGGAAGCCCCGGCUAACUACGUGCCAGCAGCCGCGGUAAUACGUAGAGGGCUAGCGUUAUCCGGAUUUACUGGGCGUAAAGGGUGCGUAGGUGGUCCUUCAAGUCGGUGGUUAAAGGCUACGGCUCAACCGUAGUAAGCCGCCGAAACUGGAGGACUUGAGUGCAGGAGAGGAAAGUGGAAUUCCCAGUGUAGCGGUGAAAUGCGUAGAUAUUGGGAGGAACACCAGUAGCGAAGGCGGCUUUCUGGACUGCAACUGACACUGAGGCACGAAAGCGUGGGUAGCAAACAGG